CCUACGGGAGACAGCAGUGGGGAAUAUUGCGCAAUGGGCGAAAGCCUGACGCAGCGACGCCGCGUGAGGGAUGAAGGUCUUCGGAUCGUAAACCUCUGUCAGCAGGGAAGAACGGUCACUGUGCUAAUCAGCAGUGACUUGACGGUACCUGCAAAGGACGCACCGGCUAACUCCGUGCCAGCAGCCGCGGUAAUACGGAGGGUGCGAGCGUUAAUCGGAAUUGCUGGGCGUAAAGCGCUCGUAGGCGGUAUGUCAAGUCAAGGGUGAAAUCCCCGCGCUCAACGUGGGAACUGCCUUUGAAACUGGCAAACUGGAGUGUGUGAGAGGAUAGUGGAAUUCCAGGUGUAGGAGUGAAAUCCGUAGAUAUCUGGAGGAACAUCAGUGGCGAAGGCGACUAUCUGGCACAUAACUGACGCUGAGGAGCGAAAGCGUGGGUAGCAAACAGGAUUAGAUACCCUGGUAGUC
rnacentral:rRNA from 1 species